AAAAUUAGUUUAUAUUAAAAAUAUUAAUCUGUCAGAUUAAUGAUACUUUUGGGUAUUUUUCU
rnacentral:tRNA from 1 species